CUCCUCUCUCCCUUUUUCUCUCUUCUCCCCCAAACCAAAUUACUACUAUUAUCAUUCUUCUUCUUCUUCUUCUUUAUCUCUUUUUUUUUUAUUUAUUUAUCCCUAAAUCCUCCACCGUAAAACUCAUUCACUAAAUUAUUAUUUUUUUGGUAGGCAUAGAACCAUAUUAAUUAUUUGUUUGUUUGGGGAUAUUUAUUGAAUUAAGCAAGAAUGACAGGUCCAAAUAUGGCUACUAUUACAGCUUCCUUAGAGAGAUCUCUGCAAAAUUGUUCAUUGAAUAACCACCACAGCAACAACUUGAGUGGGGUCACCCCAGCAGAUGGAUUUUCUGAUUCAUCGGAAAAUCACGUUUUGAAUAACAACCCUUCUGAUGAUGCUACCUUAGACCUCAAUUCUGAGAUUUCUUUGCCUUACCACUGGGAACAAUGUUUGGAUUUGAAGGUACCUACUAUUUACAUGCCCCCUCUCUCCAACUAUUUUUUCCAUAUCACAAUCAUUUGUUUUUCUGUCUUUUUCUUGACAUUUAUUGCUCUCCUAACCUUAAAAACCAGAUCUUGGAUUUCAUUAUUAGCACACCAUUUCACUUUAACUUGUUAUAUUCCAUCUUCUUUCUUGUGUUUGGUCAGUUUGUCAUUUUGGGUCUGCUUCAUUUAUUUCCCUUCUAUUCUAGCUAUCUCCUUCUCAACAAAAAGAAUGGUAUAAUUAAUUAUCCCCUCAUUAUAUUCUUGAAAGGUGACUUUUUCCAUUUCCUUUUCAAGCCCUUAAAAGGUGAACUUUUCUUGCUUCUGAUUAUCUUUUUUGGUGUUUUUUCUUGCACAGUAUUCGGUAUCUGUAUUGAGCUUCCCUUCCCGUAAUUUGGAUUUCUGUUGCAUAAGGUCUAUUAAAUGUGAAAGCGUUUUAUAUAAACUUAUUUUUUCAUUCUCAAGCUAGAACUCGAAAUUUCUAAUUAAGUAUGAAAUGAUGUUAUCUAUUCAUCUAUUCCAAUAUUACUACUACUAGUACUAUUAUAUGGUGUCCUUUAUUAAUUAUUUUGUUCUCUGGCAUAAAUUAUCUUUAACCAAGUAAAGCCAAAUUUGACAGAUUGGUGCAGUUUACUUUCUUCUGCAUUAAUUUUAACUCUGAAAUAUGGGUGGAUUUCUUGAAUAUAUGGGUUGUGGUACAGACAGGGGAAAUAUAUUAUAUAAACUGGAGGACAGGGACGAAAGUGAAAGAAGAUCCAAGAACAACUGGAGAUGAAGUGUACGGUGGUGAUUUAUACUCAGAAGAAGAAGAAGAAGAAAGCUCGUAUGAUAGUGAUGAAGGAUCUUCAACAGAAGAGUCAUCAUUUUCAUCUUCAAGAGAACCCCAUAAUAUUGGCA
rnacentral:lncRNA from 1 species